rnacentral:lncRNA from 1 species
CGCAUGCCCUGGGCUCACGAGCGCUGCCGGCCCCCAGCCGCCAACGUGAUCCUGUUGGCCGCUACCCGGCCCCGCCGCGGCUGGCUGCGCGGCUUGGACCUCUGGCGGCCCGGCAGUGAGUUUCCUGCGUGAGCAGCGGCGGGGGCGUUUUCCCGCGCCGGGACGGGGGACGUUCGCGCCCCCACUUUGCUGCGACCUUUGCGGGCCCACCGGCGGGUGCGGGCGGCGAGCGUCUGCGCGGGGCGGAGGGACGCCAUACCGCGGGAGGGAGGGCUCCGUGUGAGUUUUUUUGUGCGACUGCGGCGGGAGCCUGUGGCGCGAGGGCGCGGGGACCCCGGCGUGGCAGAGCCAUGGAUGGACCGGCUCCGGGCAAAAAGCUGCGGUCGAGGUCGCAGCGAGAUCGGGAGAGGCGCUCCCGGGGCGGUCUGGGGGCCCGCGCGGCUGCGGGGCCGGCCUGACCCGGGUGCCCUAGCUAGCUUCAUCUUUGGGCUCCAACAAGGAAGACAAUGGGAAGCCCCGGUCCUCCUCCGGGUCUGGCCCAGACCCCCGCGGAGGAAGCGGCGGGAGUCCACCUUGGCCAAAGAGGACAUCAUCUAUGGGUUUGCCAGGACCAGCUUUGUCACUUUUGAAGCGCUGGAGGUAAGCGCCCCCUCCCCUGUC